GUAGGGAAUCUUCGGCAAUGGACGGAAGUCUGACCGAGCAACGCCGCGUGAGUGAAGAAGGUUUUCGGAUCGUAAAGCUCUGUUGUUAGAGAAGAAUGAUGGUGGGAGUGGAAAAUCCACCAUGUGACGGUAACUAACCAGAAAGGGACGGCUAACUACGUGCCAGCAGCCGCGGUAAUACGUAGGUCCCGAGCGUUGUCCGGAUUUAUUGGGCGUAAAGCGAGCGCAGGCGGUUCUUUAAGUCUGAAGUUAAAGGCAGUGGCUCAACCAUUGUACGCUUUGGAAACUGGAGAACUUGAGUGCAGAAGGGGAGAGUGGAAUUCCAUGUGUAGCGGUGAAAUGCGUAGAUAUAUGGAGGAACACCGGUGGCGAAAGCGGCUCUCUGGUCUGUAACUGACGCUGAGGCUCGAAAGCGUGGGGAGCAAACAGGAUUAGAUACCCUAGUAGUCC
rnacentral:rRNA from 1 species